UCUAUCGCGCCGCCGCAGCCGAGGCCCUCCGCCCCGGUCCGCCGAGCCAUCGUCGCCCCAAUCCGCCGCCUCCAACCUUGGCGGUUGGGCCCUCCGUCCCACCGCCGCUGCUCCGGUCCUCGUCCCCAGGUCCGUCGCACCGCCGCCGCCGAGGCCCUCCGCCCUGGUCCACCACGCCGCCGUCGCACCAAUCUGCCGCCUCUUACCUCGGUGGCCGGGCCCUCUGUCCCCCGUGUGCCGUGCCGCCGUCGCCCGGAUCCGCGCGUGCUGUCGAGCCCGGAUCCGCGCGUGCUGUUGAGCCCGUCUCACGCCGCUGCGCGCGCGAGACACACCCAUGCGCGACCUGAGCAGCAGCAACACGGCCGCGGGGCUCUUCGCCGUCCGGCGCCCGGGCUUCCAUCGAUGGCGCUAAGCCUUGGCCAUCGGGUCCGGAUCCGAGGGUCGCCAGGGAGGAGAGGCCGGUGUGGGACGGGAAGAGACGGCGUCGGAUUGGAGCCAAUUGGUUCCGUGGUUUUGGAGGAGCUGAGCCCAUCCCGCAUAUUGAGCGAAUAUUCCGCUCAUGGGAUGGCUCGGUUCGCACAACCAUGAACCAAAUAAUGGAUGGAGCCGCUCUGUUCCAGUCGGCUUGCCAACCAAACACACCAGCUACCGAGCUGCCCUCGCCGCCGGCCGCAGGCCCGUCUCUGAAUUCUGAUGAAGGGCUCCCCCACCCACCAACGGCAGGACGGGGACGAAGCAGCAGCAGCAAGCAGCCAUUAAGCCAACCACCCACCUGCCUGCAUCAUUCAUGCCGGCCGGAUCAUCGUCAGGGCAGCCAAUGCAAUGCAAUUCAAUUCCGCGCCAGCCUUACCCCUGACGGCCCUGAUCGAUCGACCUCCCGGCCUCUUCAAUUCACCUGCCUUUCGAUCGGGCCGCGUGGAUCUCAACGACCGACCGACGGUACAGUUCAGCAGUCAAUGGGUGUACGAGCUCCAGCUACCUCCAGGUACCAGGGAACACUUAUCGCAGAUCGCAAUUAAGCGACAGUAAACCGCAUGUAAUACUCUGCCCAUGCAUAAAGAUACUUUAGAACUCAAUAAUGUGGUACCACUAUCACUGUUCAUCAUAACGAAAAAGCUUCUGGUACCGCGAAAAUAGAAAAGAAGCUGAGUAGUAAUGCGUGAUGCUGCUAAGGACUCCCUCUCCUCAAAAUUUAAGACCUACUAGUGCUAUUCACACAUGAACAAGUUGGAGUAGUUGUGUUCAAUAAAAGAUGCAAACAACUAUGUGUGUACAAAUGCUACGUAUAAUAAUAUCAAGGUGAAGCGCUACUAGAACUGGUCAACUGGUCUCUUCGUCUGAAUCUAAAGACAGGGGAAAUAUGGGUGUUCACACCUAUGCAUUUAUGCUUGUUUGUCACUAUUAUGAGAUAUUUUAAGUGAAUUUCAUGUUCAUAUUUUAUUUAUUUAUUUGAGAGAGCUUUGUCUGGUUGACACAACAGAAAAUAGUUGUGGCCGGAUGAGGACACCAUAAAAACUCAGGUAAAAGAAUAAAAACAAGAAAUUACAAUUCUACCACUUUUAAUCAUCGCCUGAAGCAAUAUUUUUCAAGUAAACACAAAACAAAAGGUUAAUCUGUCACUGUGCAUAUAAAGCUUGUAAGGCCUCUUCAUUGCUUGACCUGGUCGAAUGAAAAGCUAGCUGGUGGAGGUAGUUGAUCACAGAAGCAUAUAUGGAGAUAAUACUGUAUCCCGUAGAUUACACUAAUUUGUUUGGAGCUGUAUAUAAAUAACAUUAAUAUUAUUGUCUUGAUAAGAAAUUUUAUAGUACGGCUUCUGGUGUACAAAUGCAUAUGAAUAAUAUAUAUACUCGAUAGAGGUGUUAAAUAGUACGGUUGUUUGUUGUCCUAACAUCUAGUUCAAAGGCAACGAUGUUAUAAACUUUAGGUGUCCAUAUAUGUUUAAUGCAUACGCAAUUACUUGUGGGUACUUUUUAUAUUUAUCACUACCUCCGUUCUUAAAUAUGUGACAUUUAGGACAAACAUAUCACUAUUAGGUGCAAAUUCUUGAUCCAACAAGUAAGCUUGGGGCAAAAUCUUUUUCUUUUUCUUUAAUUCAAAAAAUGGUGUUGAUAUUUCUGAGUGCCUAGCUUGUCACUUGACCUUGUCUGCUGAAUAGUGAGCUGGAGGUAGUUGAGCACAUAAAUUAUUGUUCAAUAAGAAGAUGGAAACAAUUGUAAAUAAUAUAUGGCAGUGCUAUUACAAGCUGUAUAGUAUAAUACUUCCCCUGAUAAUAUAUUUAAUAUAAGGUAGCUUUUGUCUUCUAAUCAUCUCUCAAAAGAAACAUUGAAUUUGUUUAAAUUAGUUUUUGCAUUCCACAUCAGCUUCUUUGACCACCAAACUAGCAGUAUCUAAUUAUGCUCAUUUCUGGAACUUGGCGAAGUGUUAUACUCGUUGUGGAACAAAAUCAUGAAUCACCGGCAGGAAUAAACGAACGCAUCAAGAAACCCAACUGCAAUUGUUGGUGUGCGCCCUGAAACAUUUCCCUCGAUUGUAUCCUGUCACUCACUUUCUGCCACCUUUUAGGAGCCAAGAGAUAAAAAGUUGCAUCAUGAGAAAGAGAAGCCCUACAGGAGAAGGCACCCACCUACUGGCUAUAUAAUCCCCAGAUAUCGCUCUCUCUUGCAGAAGGUAGCACCAUUAUGUAGGUACCCGUCCACACCACCAAAGCAUUUGUCUUCUUCAACCUCUCUCUCUCUCUCUCUCUCUCUCUCUCUCUCUCUCUCUCUCUCUCUCUCUCUCUCUCUCUCUCUCUGCCUGCAUGCUGUUUCCUUUUUGUCAUUUGUUUUUUCAACCGAGAGUAAGUAAUUUUCUAGAGUCUACACACCUCUGGAGUGAUCUUGUGUUUUGCUUGGCAUGAAGGGGAAAGGAAGGGGAAGCCAUGCUUGGGCUAUAGCAUGCAUGUUGCUGGGAUAAGGAGGUAUUGGCGCGCCUCAAUCCGAAGGCGUGGCUGAUUAUUGGCGCGGCAGCCAUGUUCUUGGAUUGAGCCGCGUCAAUAUCUCCCCUUGCUAUCUUCCUAUACCUACCUCGCUUGUUGCUAGCAGAAUCUAAGGAGUCUCGAGAUAUCCCUCAUCACGAUCGAGAACAUGAACACAAUUGUUGAUUUCCAAGCAAACAAGGUAUGUAUAAUACUUCAUGCUUCAUAUAUAUCUUCAUUAAGAGUUUUCUUCCAGCAAGAUUAUCGGCCACAGGGGGGGGGGGAUGGGAGGGAGGGAGGGAGAGAGAGAGAGAGAGUUCUCAAAAUCAGAAUAAUAGUUACUAUACCAAUAACUCUAUGCUGUACCAUUUUAAAUUUUCUCCCUUCAACGCCCUUCCAUGCCACUGUCAUGAACUCAAUGUUCAAAAUCGGGUGUCGUCAGUUAUAUUUAAGUCGUCAUAUAGUUCUCUAAUUGGCUGCAAACUUGCAAUUGUACUUCUCAUCUUUUUAGAUAUAAGCUUUUCCACAUUUGAUGUUCCAUCAGGUACUAUCAUUUUUUUCAUCAGGUAGAAAUUAGGAGCCCGGCAUAUUUUUUGGAUAGUGCGGGAAAAAGUAACACCAAAGAGUUAGGAUAAACUGAUUUUUGUGUAAAUCUUAUUAUAUAUGGUGUCUUUAAGAACUACAGAGAUGAACCGGCUAUAGAAAAAUACAUAGAUGAAAGGAUGUAGUUUGUUAACAACUUGUUAACAAAGAAAAACAAUACUGAAUGUUACUUCCCGAUCACCCCUUCCCUUAGUUUGGUCGUGUGUGUAUAUAUAUUAGGGGAAAUGCAACUAGUCAAAUGGUCUCAUUUAGUUCAAAAUGUGCCAUUUCAAAAAAAAAAAUUACACAGAAAACUAGCAACCAUUGGGGGGAACCUGCUGAAAAUUUUCCCUACACUCUUGUACUAUUGUAUAAUUUACUUCUAAUCGCAAAUUAAAUGUCUAAGGAAGAGAAUGCAGGGUUUGUACUUUGUACAAUGGCUUCUUAUCCUAGUGCUUCCUGCUGGUCUGAUUAACGCCUUGCAGAAAAUGUGUUUGGAGUGUCAAAUAAAAUUAACAAACUUUUCAACUCAAUCUUUUGAAGUACCUUCAAAAUGAAUAGAUGAAUUUGUUUCAACUAUCUAUCUUUUUCAUCAAAUGUAAAUUUAUUGUUGGAAUGCAAACCCAUCAGUAGAAAAUAAGUCCUUGCCUUUGAAUUGUUUUUCUAAUUCUGAUAUGUUAGCUUAUGUAUGCUUGUGCAUUAUUCAAGCACACUAUUUCAAGAAGGUUCUUUGUUUAAUUAGUUUAAUGAUCCACAAUAUAACAUACUAAUAGUGCUCUCUUCAGUAGAAGGUGAAAUAAAAUAAUGAACAAAUGGCAAUGAAGAUGGCUAUAUGGGUUAUCAUUUCUAUGAUAUAUAUCCCUGUCGGUUCCCUGUGUGUUGUUUCAAAACCGAUAAGAAAUGUGAAUUUCCCUAUGCCUGCUUGAUGAAAAAUCCUCAGAAAAAUUGGACACACACAAGAAAAAAAUCGGCUUGCAGUAGUGGGUACUGAUGUAUAAAAAUUAAAUAAAAACAAGUCCAACUUUAAAAAGAACAAAAUUGUAUCACUCCAAAAACAUGAGGUGUCUCAUAAUACCAUAUGGUUGGCAAGGGCGACAACCUUAUUCAGACAAUCAUACUCACAAACUUUUGCCUACAUUAGCUAAACAUUUUGGCACAAGGUAUGAAAAUAAUUUUUUUAGAUUAAGGAAUAGUUCCAGCCUUGAAUAUUCGAGAUGAAUGUCUACAGCCCUGGGUAUGACAAUAAUUAUGUUGUUUAUUAGUUGUGUCAUUGUGUGCUCCAGUUCCUGUCCUGUACGUAGUGCAGCUAGCACCAAAUCGAAGGGAGUACCAUCAUCCCAGGAUUUGUAGCUUCAAAGGUAAAAUGACUAGUGAUGUUUAGUUUAGCCGCCACUAUCGUUGCAGAAGAGGCCAAAGAAAAGUUUGUUGAGCUGCUCCUAGUGGAGGAAAGAUCACACACCACUUCACGGCAAUGUUUUCUUUACCAACUCGAGCUUAUUUUUGAACGUCAGCUCGGCCACCCUCACUUUUGGAAAAGCAUCUUCUGUGCCUGGUUUGAGGUAUGAGCAACACAAUCAAAAUAUUGGUACUGUUACACUGGAAUUUAUUUCCCCUGUGUAAGAGAGAACAAGCUAGAUCACGUACCCGUGCAUGUUGGAAUUUUUGGUGGUAAAAAACGCUGAAAAUACAGCAAAUAAGAAAACGGGAAAAGAAGGACAAGAACUCCGAGAGAAAGCCCAUUUAGCGUUCUGAUCGUAGGCCCAACUAGCUCAUGGUUGUGACUCCAGAUUACCCAGCACCAUAUUAACUCGGGGUGGGAUCUGGCUCCUUUUGGACUGACGUGAAAACCUAGCCAAAGAGAAACCCCAACAGCCACCCGACGGCGGCGAUGGAGUCACCUGAAGGUCCCCGCCGCGCCGCGAUCGCCGCCAUCCUUGUAGAGUGCCGAUGGAGGCCGGAAGGAAGCCGGUACCUGCCGAGGUCUUCUUCAACUCCGGCGAGUACGACUACUCCGACUCCGGUAACUACGACUACAAUGCCUACUUCGUCAACCAAGAUGGCCGGUGGAUCUGCUACAUCCGCCAUGCCGCUUCUCCCCGGUCUAGACCUAAACCUCUUAUGUAUUUUAAGGGUUGUGCUUACUUGAGUAGAAGUAGAUCCUGUGUAAGUUAAGAUCUAAGUUAAGUUUAAUUCCUACGGUGCAAGGAUUUAGUUAUUCCUUGUCCACCGAGAACUUUAGGGAGGCAAAAACAAUGGAACAGCAUAUAAAUUCUCUCCCCACCCUUCCAUAUAUAAAUAAAAGCUGUAAGAAAAAAGUAACAAAAUGCAGGUGCUACCUCCUACCUGGAGUCCAGGACAGGGAUUGAAGGUGCACUGGAAGUU